rnacentral:rRNA from 1 species
CACGUAGGGCGCAAGCGUUGUCCGGAAUUACUGGGCGUAAAGCGUGCGCAGGCGGUUUUGUAAGUCUGACGUGAAAUCCCCGGGCUCAACCUGGGAAUUGCGUUGGAGACUGCAAGGCUGGAGUCUGGCAGAGGGGGGUAGAAUUCCACGUGUAGCAGUGAAAUGCGUAGAGAUGUGGAGGAACACCGAUGGCGAAGGCAGCCCCCCUGGGUCAAGACUGACGCUCAUGCACGAAAGCGUGGGGAGCAAACAGG